UGGGGAAUUUUGCGCAAUGGGGGAAACCCUGACGCAGCAACGCCGCGUGAGUGAUGAAGGCCUUCGGGUCGUAAAGCUCUGUCAGUGGGAAAGAAGUGUAUUGCGGCCAAUACCCGCGAUACUUGACGGUACCCACAAAGGAAGCACCGGCUAACUCCGUGCCAGCAGCCGCGGUAAUACGGAGGGUGCGAGCGUUGUUCGGAAUUAUUGGGCGUAAAGCGCGUGUAGGCGGCUCCUUAAGUCUGAUGUGAAAGCCCCGGGCUCAACCUGGGAAGUGCAUUGGAAACUGGGGAACUUGAAUACGGGAGAGGGUAGUGGAAUUCCUGGUGUAGGAGUGAAAUCCGUAGAUAUCAGGAGGAACACCGGUGGCGAAGGCGGCUGCCUGGACCGAUAUUGACGCUGAGACGCGAAAGCGUGGGGAGCAAACA
rnacentral:rRNA from 1 species